ensembl:snoRNA SNORA63 Small nucleolar RNA SNORA63
GUGCUGGGAUUAAAAGCAUGUGCCACCACCACCUGGCAACAAUGUUGUUUCUUAACAGUUUCUGUCUGCUAUAUACCCCCUGUGUAGAGCCAGGGAUACUUGGUCUCAUGCAU